AUUGAACGCUGGCGGCAUGCCUUACACAUGCAAGUCGAACGGCAGCACGGGUGCUUGCACCUGGUGGCGAGUGGCGAACGGGUGAGUAAUACAUCGGAACAUGUCCUGUAGUGGGGGAUAGCCCGGCGAAAGCCGGAUUAAUACCGCAUACGAUCUACGGAUGAAAGCGGGGGACCUUUGGGCCUCGCGCUAUAGGGUUGGCCGAUGGCUGAUUAGCUAGUUGGUGGGGUAAAGGCCUACCAAGGCGACGAUCAGUAGCUGGUCUGAGAGGACGACCAGCCACACUGGGACUGAGACACGGCCCAGACUCCUACGGGAGGCAGCAGUGGGGAAUUUUGGACAAUGGGCGAAAGCCUGAUCCAGCAAUGCCGCGUGUGUGAAGAAGGCCUUCGGGUUGUAAAGCACUUUUGUCCGGAAAGAAAUCCUUGGCCCUAAUACGGUCGGGGGAUGACGGUACCGGAAGAAUAAGCACCGGCUAACUACGU
rnacentral:rRNA from 1 species